CAGUAAAGGUAACUUGUUUUGGUGUUCUUUCAAUUAAUUUCUAUUAUAUCAUACAAAUAUUAAGAAGUCUAAUAUAUACAGGCAACCGUAUACAAAAAGGAAUUGUCCCCUAACUGUUUAUGAUGCAGAUCUAUAUUUUGUUUACUUCCUAAGUCGCAUUACAGUAAAGAUCUUCGGAAAUCAUUCAUUCGAAAGCACAUGCAGAACAAUUUACACUAUGAAUUCCAUGCUGAGGCAGUCCGUUCUGUUACUUCAGUUCUAUAACAUUUGGCUAGUAAGGAGAGCUUUGUAAGAAUGUAAAUUAGAGAGUAGACUGCUUUAGUCAGGUAUUCCAAUUGCAGACUAUUCAAGGUCAAAUAGUCUGAUGCAUAUACCUCCUCGUCAUGGAGAUAACUCCUAUGCCCUUGAUUUAAGAUGGACCCUUUUCUUUCCAGCACUACAAAGCUACGUAUCACUCUUACCUUUAUAGCGCAUCUGGUUUUGAAGGUCGACAAAUCACAACCAAGAAUGUAUAUACCAAUGCUCAAAGAGAAGACAGAAUCUCACAAUUGGUUCUGAGUAGUGCGACUUUUUUGUAUUCGGUACAAUCUCUUAUAUAUAUACCUUAGUUUCUAAGAACUGCAAGA